rnacentral:rRNA from 1 species
AAAACUCACCAGGUCAGGACACGGUAAGGAUUGACGGACUGAAGGCUCUUUCUCGAUUCCGUGGAAAGUGGUGCAUGGUCCGUUUUUGGUUGGUGGAUCGAUCCGUCUGGUUAAUUCCGUUAACGAACGAGACCUCGGCACUCCGAAUAGCGCGGCGGACGUCGCGGCCUCCGGGCCGUCUUCCGCACGAGCUUCUUAGAGGGACCGUCCCCCGCCGGGGAAGGAGGUGCGAGGCAACGACAGGUCUGUGAUGCCCUUAGAUGUUCUGGGCCGCACGCGCAUUACACUGACGCGUCCAACGGGUGACUCCCGACCCGAAGGGGCCGGGGAAUCCGCAAGGCGCGUCGUGAUGGGGAUUGAACGUUGCAAUUGUUGUUCACGAACGAGGAAUUCCUAGUAGGCGCGGGUCAUCAACCCGCGCCGAUUACGUCCCUGCCCUUUGUACACACCGC